GUCUUUCACUUAGAUCUGUGAGAGUCUUUCUGGGAAAAUAAAAGCAAGUGUUACACAUAAGAAUUGGAGGCAAAAAGAUGUGGACUUGGAGAAGUCUGGAGCCCGCUUGCCCCCCGCAGGCUCAAGAUGAUCCUUUCACACACAC
rnacentral:snoRNA from 1 species